UUUGGAGUCUUGAAGAGUUGAUCGCAGAAGUUAUUCAAAUUGGAGAACGAAGACUCAUUCGGAAAGCUCGACACCUAAAGGUAUGAAGAAAAGAUCAUUUGUGGUGAAGAUACCUAAUUAGAAUAAGUUCAGAAGGCUUAGAUUGCUUUAAAACAAUUUUUCUGAACUUUCAUGUGUUCUGGGACCGGUCCCUGAAAUGGAGAGACCGGUUCCCCUAAGGUCCUCACUGCGUGAGUUCUGAUGCAACCGGUCC
rnacentral:lncRNA from 1 species